rnacentral:rRNA from 1 species
UUAACCUACGGGGGGCAGCAGUGGGGGAUAUUGCACAAUGGGGGGAACCCUGAUGCAGCGACGCCGCGUGGGUGAAGGAGUAUUUCGGUAUGUAAAGCCCUAUCGGCAGGGAAGAAGCAAGACGGUACCUGACUAAGAAGCCCCGGCUAACUACGUGCCAGCAGCCGCGGUAAUACGUAGGGGGCGAGCGUUAUCCGGAUUCACUGGGUGUAAAGGGAGCGGAGACGGCCAAGCAAGCCAGGGGUGAAAGGCCGGGGCCCAACCCCGGGGCUGCCCUUGGAACUGCUUGGCUG